ACUUCAAUACUGGAUCAGAACCAGAUAACAAUGCCAUAUGAAAGAUGAAUUCAUACGCUAGGUGGCGCAGAUGUCGAGAUAUUUGAAAACGCAGUAUUUAUGGUCCGAUGUUGA